rnacentral:piRNA from 1 species
UACCAACAUCCAUGAUGAUGCCAGCAG